rnacentral:rRNA from 1 species
AUCAACUUUCGAUUGGUAGGAUAGAGGCCUACCAUGGUGGUAACGGGUAACGGGGUGUUAGGGCACGACACCGGAGAGGGAGCCUGAGAAACGGCUACCACAUCCAAGGAUGGCAGCAGGCGCGCAAAUUACCCAAUCCCGACACGGGGAGGUAGUGACAAUAAAUAACAAUACGGGGUUCUUUCGGAUUUCGUAAUUGGAAUGAGUACAAUUUAAAUCUCUUAACGAGGAACAAUUGGAGGGCAAGUCUGGUGCCAGCAGCCGCGGUAAUUCCAGCUCCAAUAGCGUAUAUUAAAGUUGCUGCAGUUAAAAAGCUCGUAGUUGAAUUUCGGGACCAAUAUGUCGGUCGUGCCUCGGUACGUACUGGCAUCGUUGGUUUCUCCCUUCUGACGAACCAUGAUGUCAUUCAUUUGGUGUCGUGGGGAAUCAGGACUGUUACUUUGAAAAAAUUAGAGUGUUUAAAGCAGGCUCACGCUUGAAUACAUUAGCAUGGAAUAAUGAAAUAGGUCGUUUGAUUCUAUUUUGUUGGUUUCUAGGAUCGACGUAAUGAUUAAUAGGGAUAGUUGGGGGCAUUAGUAUUCAAUUGUCAGAGGUGAAAUUCUUGGAUUUAUUGAAGACUAACUACUGCGAAAGCAUUUGCCAAGGAUGUUUUCAUUAAUCAAGAACGAAAGUUAGGGGAUCGAAGACGAUCAGAUACCGUCGUAGUCUUAACCAUAAACUAUGCCGACUAGGGAUCGGAUGAUGUUAAUUUUUUAAUGACUCAUUCGGCGCCUUACGGGAAACCAAAGUGUUUGGGUUC